rnacentral:lncRNA from 1 species
GAGUUCCUGAUGUUUCUUUCCACUGCCAUUGAGCGUGUAUUAAACAAGGAUGCAGGAGUCCUAUGGCUUUUAGCAUCAUCUCCCUGCUGCUUUGCUUCAGAGAAACAUAAUUCAGUUUAUAAUUCUUCAGGUCCCCUGAACUGAAGAAAGAAAGAAGAGAACCAGACCUUUGGCCAACCCUACUGUCUCCCACACAGAGCAGAGGAGAGGGACCAGCAUCCUGGAGGACCAGGAGCAGAGGUUCUGCUGAGAAAUAUGGGCAAUCCCCUGAAGAUUACAGUCCAGAUGCUGUCACAAAACAGAAAGGGGCACCUGGGCAGGCUCUGCAAAGACUGUGCCAGGUCACCAUGCAGGAGAUCCCAGAGGCACUUUGUUUCAUGUUUCUCCCGAGACCAGGUACUCUGAUAUUUAUUGAGUACCUACUGUGUGCCAAGAGCAUCACAGGCUGUCCAGAACCUCUGUCCAGAGAGUUAAGAAUUCAGCAUGGCACUCCUUGUACCUUCAGACUAUAAAACACAAGGAAACACGUUGACUGCGUAGCUUGCCUCUCAUCUUAGAGCCAGAGUGCAUAUAUAAUAAGAACUGGG